rnacentral:rRNA from 1 species
UCGUGCGAGAAAGGGACUUCGGUCCUGAGUAGAGCGGCGCACGGGUGAGUAACGCGUGGGUGAUCUCCCUUGGUGAUCGGGAUAACAGCGGGAAACUGCUGCUAAUACCGGAUAAUCUUCAUGUUUAACUUCAUGGGGUAAAGGUGGCCUCUGCUUGCAAGCUACCACACCAAGAUGAGCCCGCGUCUCAUUAGCUAGUUGGUAGGGUAAUGGCCUACCAAGGCUACGAUGAGUAGCUGGUCUGAGAGGAUGACCAGCCACACUGGGACUGGAACACGGCCCAGACUCCUACGGGAGGCAGCAGUGGGGAAUAUUGCGCAAUGGGCGAAAGCCUGACGCAGCGACGCCUCGUGAGGGAUGAAGGUCUUCGGAUCGUAAACCUCUGUCAAGAGGG